UACGUAGGGUGCGAGCGUUGUCCGGAUUUAUUGGGCGUAAAGAGCUCGUAGGCGGUUUGUCGCGUCGGCCGUGAAAUCUCCACGCUUAACGUGGAGCGUGCGGUCGAUACGGGCAGACUUGAGUUCGGUAGGGGAGACUGGAAUUCCUGGUGUAGCGGUGAAAUGCGUAGAUAUCUGCAGGAACACCCGUGGCGAAAGCGGCGCGCUGGACCACUACUGACGCUGAGGAACGAAAGCUAGGGGAGCAAACAGG
rnacentral:rRNA from 1 species